rnacentral:rRNA from 1 species
GAACGAGAAAGUCCCCGCAAGGGGAUGAGUAAAGUGGCGUACGGGUGAGUAACACGUAGCUAACCUACCCUCGAGUGGGGGAUAACCUGGGGAAACCCGGGCUAAUACCGCAUACGAUCCUGAUUGCACAUGCAAUUGGGAGGAAAGGCCCGCAAGGGCCGCUUGAGGAGGGGGCUGCGGCCGAUUAGCUAGUUGGUGAGGUAACGGCCUACCAAGGCGACGAUCCGUAGCUGGUCUGAGAGGGCGAUCAGCCACACCGGAACUGAGACACGGUCCGGACUCCUACGGGAGGCAGCAGUGGGGAAUAUUGGACAAUGGGGGCAACCCUGAUCCAGCAAUGCCGCGUGUGUGAAGAAGGCCUGCGGGUUGUAAAGCACUUUCGGUGGGGACAAAAAGUGGCGGGAUAACACCCUGCUAUCUUGAUUUAACCCAUAGAAGAAGCACCGGCUAACUCUGUGCCAGCAGCCGCGGUAAUACAGAGGGUGCAAGCGUUAAUCGGAAUUACUGGGCGUAAAGCGCACGUAGGCGGCGUGAUAAGUUGGAUGUGAAAUCCCCGGGCUUAACUUGGGAAUUGCAUUCAAGACUGUCGUGCUGGAGUAUGGGAGAGAGAAGUGGAAUUCCAGGUGUAGUGGUGAAAUGCGUAGAUAUCUGGAGGAACAUCAGUGGCGAAGGCGGCUUCUUGGCCCAAUACUGACGCUGAGGUGCGAAAGCGUGGGGAUCAAACAGGAUUAGAUACCCUGGUAGUCCACGCCGUAAACGAUGGAUGCUAGCCGUUGUCGGGUUUACUCGUCAGUGGCGCAGCUAACGCAUUAAGCAUCCCGCCUGGGGAGUACGGUCGCAAGAUUAAAACUCAAAGGAAUUGACGGGGGCCCGCACAAGCGGUGGAGCAUGUGGUUCAAUUCGAAGCAACGCGCAGAACCUUACCAACCUUUGACAUGUCCCGUAUGAGUACCAGAGAUGGAACUCUUCAGUUCGGCUGGCGGGAACACAGGUGCUGCAUGGCUGUCGUCAGCUCGUGUCGUGAGAUGUUGGGUUAAGUCCCGCAACGAGCGCAACCCUCGCCCUUAGUUGCCAUCAUUUAGUUGGGCACUCUAAGGGGACUGCCGGUGAUAAGCCGCGAGGAAGGUGGGGAUGACGUCAAGUCCUCAUGGCCCUUACAGGUUGGGCUACACACGUGCUACAAUGGCGGUGACAAUGGGACGCAAUGGGGAAACCCUGCGCAAAUCUCAAAAAGCCGUCUCAGUUCGGAUUGUGCUCUGCAACUCGAGCACAUGAAGUUGGAAUCGCUAGUAAUCGCAGAUCAGCACGCUGCGGUGAAUACGUUCCCGG